rnacentral:lncRNA from 1 species
UGUGAUUUCCCGCUGAUGACCAUAUUGAUAUCAUAGACAAGUUUUCUCGCGAAUAGAUUUGCUCAAUUAGUUUAGUAAAGUCUGAAAUAUUGCAUGCAUAUCAUACAUGAAGUAGCAUGUAUUUAAUUAGACAUGUUUGAUGUCUACAAUUAUUCAAAUAAAGAUAACAAAAAAUAGUUGUUUGUGCUUAAAGUUCGGUUGCAAGUAUUUCACACAAUUAAAACUUAAUGCCAAAAAAAAUGAAAAAAAUCAAAUUUUUUAAAUAUAUUUUGUUUGCUCUGUCUUGGAGUAAAGGCAUAUAUAACCCAAAUAAUAUAUUCAUAGAAAUGUUCCACAAAAGUACACACCAAGACUCAAAAGAUAGAAUUUAAAAAGAAUUCAAAGACCCGAUGUGUGAUUGCUAUAGUUAUUUUGGGUACGGGACUAAACAUACGGGAAGUAGACUUGGUUGUACAUAUUGGAUGCCCUAAAUCUGUACUCUCUUAGUGGCAAGAGGCAGGCUGUUGUGCGAGAGA